rnacentral:tRNA from 1 species
GAGGGUAUAGCUCAGUGGUAGAGCACUUGCCUGGCAUGCAUGGAGCCCUGGAUUCAAUCCCCUGCACCAUGG